rnacentral:lncRNA from 1 species
CAGAGGCUUUGCAGUGGAAGGAGAUACUGGCUUCCUGGUGGACGGUAUUUCUGAACAUGCAGUCUGGAGGUGAGAGGCUGGAGAGAUGGUAUCCAGUAAGGACCUGGUUUACAACAGAGCCUUGGGAAAUGAUGGUGAUUAUUAUUAUUAAGUUGUGGUUCGGAAUAUUCGAUGUGGUCAUCACAGGGAAAACUAUAACUGCUGUUUUUGACCCAGCAGCUCUCCUUAGCCAGUGACUUCCCUUUGGCCCCCAAGCCUGCUCUCCAUCUCCACCAAGUACAAGAAGACAACUUGACCAUCGAAUAGCCCCACCAUGAACCCCUGAAGCCCCUCACUCAAGCAUCUCCCCAAAACCUCCAGCUGGUUUUCAGCCUCCAGUGGAGGAAACUGCUCUGCAGCCAUACAUCUCUCCUGCAUCCCCUGAGAUACCUGGGCCUUCCCCUAAGAACCACCAUCUAUAGCUUCUACUCUAUAAAUUAUGACUAUGUGCAAAGAAUUGUUUUAGAGACAUGCUCUGAGUUCGGAAAUCUUCUUUGGCCAACCUUCAGAUAAGGAACACUUCCAAGCAAUUUGAGGAGACAUUAAACCUAUUUUUAAGAAGCAGUUGUGGAGGGGGGCGGAUAAUACAUGUAAUACUUUGAUAUUUCCUGUUUUUAGGAGCUCGUGUUCAGCUUGCAACCCUUUUCUUUGAAAAAGCAAUUACAAAUGAUUGAAAUCCUCUGUGAGUGUUUUAGAUGUUUAAAAAGAAAGCGUGGGUGAGGCCCCUGGGAGGAGAGUGCCGCUCCAAGCUCACAACCUGUUGCGACUUUGCCCCAUUGUGUUUUGAUUAGAAUCCUUGCUCCAUCAUCAAAGUUGAUUAUGGAUUUGAUUAGUGCAUUUUUCUGCUAUUGUGUUAUUCCCUUUCUUCUCUUUCUCAUUUCUUGGAGGGGAAUGUGUAGUGUGGUUAUCUGCCAAUAUUCAAGAAUGUUUAUAACUCACAUAUUAUUGCUUAUUCCAUGGGUUAAUUUUCUAAAGACAUUUUAAGGGUGGUAUGGUUUGCUUAUUUAGGGUAUCAUUUUGUGUGUAUAUAUCUGUGUAUAAAUACAUCUACUUCUGGAUAUGUGUAUACACACACACACACACACACACACACAUACACAAAUGUAUACACAUGGAACAGCUUAGAGUGUAGAGCACAUGUAAGCACACACAUCAAAGGCAGGGCUAGAGGAGUUACAGCCCGAAUACUAGCUUUCAGAAUGGCUAGGUUUGCUUCUUCCUUCUCAUAGUCUCUUCCUCUGCAACCACGAUUUUAA